rnacentral:rRNA from 1 species
GACGAACGCUGGCGGCGUGCUUAACACAUGCAAGUCGAACGGAAAGGCCCUGCUUUUGUGGGGUGCUCGAGUGGCGAACGGGUGAGUAACACGUGAGUAACCUGCCCUUGACUUUGGGAUAACUUCAGGAAACUGGGGCUAAUACCGGAUAGGAGCUCCUGCUGCAUGGUGGGGGUUGGAAAGUUUCGGCGGUUGGGGAUGGACUCGCGGCUUAUCAGCUUGUUGGUGGGGUAGUGGCUUACCAAGGCUUUGACGGGUAGCCGGCCUGAGAGGGUGACCGGCCACAUUGGGACUGAGAUACGGCCCAGACGCCUACGGGAGGCAGCAGUGGGGAAUAUUGCACAAUGGGCGGAAGCCUGAUGCAGCAACGCCGCGUGCGGGAUGACGGCCUUCGGGUUGUAAACCGCUUUCGCCUGUGACGAAGCGUGAGUGACGGUAAUGGGUAAGGAAGCACCGGCUAACUACGUG